GAUCCGGUAGCUCAGUUGGUAGAGCACUUGACUUUUAAUCCAGUGGCCGUGGGUUCGAAUCCCACCCGGAUCACCA
rnacentral:tRNA from 1 species